CCUACGGGAGGCAGCAGUGAGGAAUAUUGGUCAAUGGACGAGAGUCUGAACCAGCCAAGUAGCGUGAAGGAUGACUGCCCUAUGGGUUGUAAACUUCUUUUAUAUGGGAAUAAAAUGUUCCACGUGUGGGAUUUUGUAUGUACCAUAUGAAUAGGGAUCGGCUAACUCCGUGCCAGCAGCCGCGGUAAUACGGAGGAUCCGAGCGUUAUCCGGAUUUAUUGGGUUUAAAGGGAGCGUAGGUGGAUUGUUAAGUCAGUUGUGAAAGUUUGCGGCUCAACCGUAAAAUUGCAGUUGAAACUGGCAGUCUUGAGUACAGUAGAGGUAGGCGGAAUUCGUGGUGUAGCGGUGAAAUGCUUAGAUAUCACGAAGAACUCCGAUUGCGAAGGCAGUUCACUGGACUGCAACUGACACUGAGGCUCGAAAGUGUGGGUAUCAAACAGGAUUAGAUACCCUUGUAGUC
rnacentral:rRNA from 1 species